CGGGACGGGGUGGAGUAAUGUCUGGGAAACUGCCUGAUGGAGGGGGGUAACUACUGGAAACGGUAGCUAAUACCGCAUAACGUCGCAAGACCAAGAGGGGGACCUUCGGGCCUCUUGCCAUCGGAUGUGCCCAGAUGGGAUUAGCUAGUAGGUGGGGUAACGGCUCACCUAGGCGACGAUCCCUAGCUGGUCUGAGAGGAUGGCCAGCCACACUGGAACUGAGACACGGUCCAG
rnacentral:rRNA from 1 species